rnacentral:rRNA from 1 species
CGUAGGGGGCAAGCGUUGUCCGGAUUCAUUGGGCGUAAAGCGCGUGUAGGCGGCCAGAUAAGUCCGCUGUGAAAACUCGAGGCUCAACCUCGAGAUGUCGGCGGAAACUAUCUGGCUAGAGUCCGGAAGAGGAGAGUGGAAUUCCUGGUGUAGCGGUGAAAUGCGCAGAUAUCAGGAGGAACACCCGUGGCGAAAGCGGCUCUCUGGGACGGUACUGACGCUGAGACGCGAAAGCGUGGGGAGCAAACAGGAUUAGAUACCCUGGUAGUCCACGCCGUAAACGAUGGGUGCUAGGUGUGGGCGGUGUCGACUCCGUCCGUGCCGAAGCUAACGCAUUAAGCACCCCGCCUGGGGAGUACGGCCGCAAGGCUA